CGACACGCAGGGAUGCUGCCGCGUCUGGCCGCUCCCGGGAAAUCGUCUGCACAUGAAUCAAAGCCUCAGCACCUUCUUGAAACCCUUCUCUGCUGCCCCUCGACUCCUUGGCUGAGCCCUCUGCCAUGAAUCCAGGUGUUCCUGCCUGGGGUGAAACUCCCCCCAGUUCAAAGAGGCAGCACGACAGCACUGGGGCUCUGAUCUGCACAGAUGCAUGAGGCCCAGAACAAGGUCUUGAUUGCAGGCUUCAGAGAAGCAUUUUCAUUGCAUUUUGCCUCUCCAACCAGCCAGGUGAGGCAGUUCCCAAGGGGGAAUAAUUCUGACCAGACCAAGGAACAGUUUCCUCCUCUUCUCUGCUUCACAGGAUGAGGAAAUAAAUGGCCUCAUAGAUGAGUAAUGAGCCGGACAGCGAGUGUCUUCCACCAGACUGCAAAUCCUCCUGCAGGGACACUCCUGUGCUCUGCACACACAGAGCACUGGGGUCCCACACCCUUAGAGGGAGGAUGCAUUGGCCAACAUUUUGUCAAACAGCAAAUAAAGAUGAAUUAGUCCUGGGAAAAAA